rnacentral:rRNA from 1 species
GCCAGCAGCCGCGGUAAUACGAAGGGGUGCAAGCGUUACUCGGAAUUACUGGGCGUAAAGCGUGCGUAGGUGGUCGUUUAAGUCCGUUGUGAAAGCCCUGGGCUCAACCUGGGAACUGCAGUGGAUACUGGACGACUAGAGUGUGGUAGAGGGUAGCGGAAUUCCUGGUGUAGCAGUGAAAUGCGUAGAGAUCAGGAGGAACAUCCAUGGCGAAGGCAGCUACCUGGACCAACACUGACACUGAGGCACGAAAGCGUGGGGAGCAAACAGGAUUAGAUACCCUGGUAGUCCACGCCCUAAACGAUGCGAACUGGAUGUUGGGUGCAAUUUGGCACGCAGUAUCGAAGCUAACGCGUUAAGUUCGCCGCCUGGGGAGUACGGUCGCAAGACUGAAACUCAAAGGAAUUGACGGC